ACCUCUAGAUUUCUCUCCUAUGAAACCAAACACUGGUCUGAAUGGUUAUAACAGGAGAAAAGUAAUAUCUGAACUGACUUCAUUCUUUUGUAGCACAUAGACCCGUUUCAAACAGGA
rnacentral:snoRNA from 1 species